UGACAUUCAGACUGAUGUCCUCAAAACUGAGGGGCAUUUUCUGUGAUUUGAAAGGAAAGUGCAC
rnacentral:miRNA from 1 species